GUGAGAUGGAAUCAACAUUUGGACAUGCGUAUUUUAUGUUGAUUCCAUCUCAUGA
rnacentral:pre_miRNA from 1 species